CGAGGCCCCCUCCGUAGGGAACCUGCGGAAGGAUCAUUACCGAGUGAGGGCCCUCUGGGUCCAACCUGCACCGCGUGUCUAUCGGACAGGUGUUGCUUCGGCGGGCCCGCCGUUUCGACGGCCGCCGGGGAGGCCUUGCGCCCCCGGGCCCGCGCCCGCCGAAGACCCCAACAUGAACGCUGUUCUGAAAGUAUGCAGUCUGAGUUGAUUAUCGUAAUCAGUUAAAACUUUCAACAACGGAUCUCUUGGUUCCGGCAUCGAUGAAGAACGCAGCGAAAUGCGAUAAGUAAUGUGAAUUGCAGAAUUCAGUGAAUCAUCGAGUCUUUGAACGCACAUUGCGCCCCCUGGUAUUCCGGGGGGCAUGCCUGUCCGAGCGUCAUUGCUGCCCUCAAGCACGGCUUGUGUGUUGGGCCCCCGUCCCCCUCUCCCGGGGGACGGGCCCGAAAGGCAGCGGCGGCACCGCGUCCGGUCCUCGAGCGUAUGGGGCUUUGUCACCUGCUCUGUAGGCCCGGCCGGCGCCAGCCGACACCCAACUUUAUUUUUCUAAGGUUGACCUCGGAUCAGGUAGGGAUACCCGCUGAACUUAAGCAUAUCAAUA
rnacentral:rRNA from 1 species